CCCCUCUCAGGGUUGCACCUGGAGAGUUUCCAGUACUCUACCAAUCUCGACAAUAGGAGGGAAAGUCAAGCAGAGGCACACCCAUUCCAUUCCUAGCUUGGGCAGUGGCCAACAAGUGGAAGACAAUCUGCUACAAGU